UAGCUCAAUUGGUUAGAGCAGUUGGUUAUGAGUCAGAUAGGGACGUAUCCCCUCAAGCUUAUACCUUGUAGAAAGGGUAGUUGGUCGCACGUGGGUUCAAAUCCCACCGUCCCU
rnacentral:tRNA from 1 species